GCCUGCCCGCGGCGCGGGAGGGCCCGGCGCCCGGAGGCGCGGCCGCUGGGCCCGGGCGGGCGGGGUCCGAGGGCUCCGCGGAGAGGGGGGACGGCGCGGAAGUCGGGGCUCCCUUUCACCCCCUCCUGCCCAACGGGCCCGCGCCCGCCCUGCCUCCGGAGCUCCGGGGUGAACUCGCGCUCAGCUUCCGUCGUCUUCCAGUCCGCAAAGUUGGCCCCGCGGGUCCCGACGGGCCUGCCCUCUGGAGGGUCGCAGAGGGUCUCCUCCCGGCGGUCGCAUCGGCCCAGGAGGUCCCCGGGGCAGACGCACAACUGCGGAAAAUCGCCUGCGGGGACGGUCUCUUCCUUCCUCCCCAAGUUCUGGGCUCUCGGAAGCGGGCCCGGCCCGGCCCAGCGCGGGGGGCACUCCGACAAGUUGUGGGGCGGAGGCGGUGCGGGGACGCGCGGGGCCGGGGCCGGGGGGGAGGGUGGCCGCCGCCAGCCGAGAGCGACCGGAGGCCAUUCGCGCGGGGCCCGGGGGCACGUCCCCGCUCCUCCCCUCGUCCCGCCCGCCGCGCUCCGAGCUCGUGCCCGAGCAGAGGGGCCCGCCGCUCGCCGCCGGCCUCCCAGGGACGCGAACCCGGGGGCGGGGGAGGAGACUGCCCGAAGUGUUUUCUCGCUGUUGGUUUUGCUUUGCUUCGUUUCUAGGGCUGACUCCACCUGCCGCUAAGUAGGGGCUUCUCAAACUCUGGCGCGCGUCAGCGUCAUCUGGCGGGGGUGUGCGAGCUCACGGCUGGGCCCUACCCUAGGGCUUCGGAGUCAGUAGGCCCGGGAUGGGCCCCAAAGUAUUUCUAGCAAGAACGCCCCCUUGCUGGGAUCUUUCGGGCCCGCCCGUGCCCGGCGUGGAAUGCCGUGACGGCAUCUCAACUUGGGGACUUACAAGAGGCCCCAGAUACACCUGGCUUGUCUGCCUGUUGGAACAACAUCAAGAUUUGGGGAAGAAGAUGGCAACUCCCUGGCGGUCCAGUGGUUAGGACUCCGCGCUCUCCCUGCGGAGAUGUCUUGUGCGCAGCCCCAAUGGAGGAAUCGUAGCCUGCUGUGACACCACUGUGCACAUCUGCUACGUAUGCUCCAGACCCCUCACCCGACAACAUGUAACUCCAUCUGCUUUCACAUCCUCCUGUCUAGUCCCCUUCAGAUGACAUUUUCUGCACAGCUCCCCUAGGAACCCCCUGGGCUGAUGUGAGCCGAGGCAGCAGGGCCCCAGGCCUGCCUGAGACAGGGCAAUCCUACCUGGUUUACACACUGGGCUUCGCCAAGCUUUGGUUUGGGCAAAGCAUUCCACAGCAGAACCACAAUGUCACCAUCACCAUCCUCACCAUCAUAUUAAACCAGCACUCUAGAGGACGCUCUUCCCUUGAAAGCACCGGUGCUCUCCUCGUUGCCUGGAGUGUCCUGCCCCCCACCUCCACUUACUGAACUUGCCUGGUCUUUAAGGCAAUUUCCAAAUGUUUGCCUCCUUUGGGACGUUUUUCGGGAGCAGCCCAGUUAGUAAUGAUGACUUCCGCUCAGAGGCAGAUUUAUGAUGAAACUACAGAAGCUUGAGUAUUCUCGGGCCCCUUCUGAUGUGUUCACGUAGUCAUGCAAUGAAAUAAAAUACAUAUUUUAUGGCAAGAUAAGAAAAGUUUAAACAUGCAUUUUUUUUCUCUGCUCAUGUGGGCCUCCUCACUACCCCUUAGAGUGUAUUUCGCCCCUGCGGUAACCAGACCUCCUUAGGACAUACCAUGCCUCUUAAUCUCACAAAUCCACUACUUGCUUUGUAUAUGCAGAUCAGGAUUGUGUAAACUGUAAAUAAUACAUCAUUUGACGUUUAACCGUUUGUCUCAAAAACUUAUAGGACUGUGCUUUGACAGUCCUCAGAGCUUUCUGAAAGAUUGUCUCCCCAAUUAAAAUCGUCAGGUUGGCUUGAAUAACAUUUUCCAUUUCUUUAUUAGA